GGAGAAGUUAAUUAUAAAAUUUCAUUUGUGAAAUAAAAUGGAACAUUAUUAUUCACCGUAUGAUUUUUUUUUUUUUCAUAUAUAUAUGAAUUGGAAUUGCCACAAGGUAAAAGUUGAAACCAAACACAAUCAUUGCAUCACAGUCUUCACACAUUGCAUAACCAGUGUCCACCAUGACACCCUGAUGCAGACACCAUCUAAGACUGGAAAGAGCCCAAAUUGAAGCGAACAAAGCCAGAAAGAAAAAUAAAAUAGACCCAUGAAAGUGGAAAUGAUAAAAGUUGACCAUGCAGGUCAACAUCAGCUCAGCUGCCUCUCUAAUUAAGUAGCCACACUGUGGAGCACCACAGUUUCAACAGUGAGCCCAGGCCCAAAACCAAACAGCACGCCCCACUCAAGCCCUUCUCCGGUAGAUUUAAGCCCAUCCUCAGCAGACUUCUUUCUCAUCUCAUCCAAAAUAAAUAGCACACAUGCACUGGACAUGUUGCCGUACUCAGAAAGAACGUGCCUUGUGGCCCGUAGCUUUUCAGGCUUCAGCCCGAGCUUCGCCUCUACUUGGUCAAGAAUUGCAGGGCCACCAGGGUGGGCAAUCCAAAACAGAGAGUUCCAAUCUGAGAUGCCCAGUGGCUGGAAUGCUUCAACAAGACUUUUCUCUAUGUUCCUUGAGAUAAUCCCAGGAACAUCCCUAAGCAGGUGAAAUGUAAGCCCAACUUCUCGGAGAUGUCCGUCUAUCGCCCCGUCGCUGUUAGGAAGGAUGGUUUGUGCAGCAGUGACAAGUUCAAACAAUGGCUUCUCUACCUGGGGCACUGGGUCUGAGCCCACUAUGAUAGCUGCUGCACCAUCACCGAACAAAGAUUGGCCUACAAGACUAUCAAGGUGUGUGUCGCUUGGACCACGGAAUGUCACCGCUGUUAUUUCGGAGCAAACAACAAGAACACGAGCACCUUUGUUAUUCUCGGCGAGGUCUUUAGCGAGGCGGAGAACCGUUCCGCCGGCGAAACAACCUUGUUGGUACAUCAUGAGCCGCUUCACGGAUGGGCGGAGACCCAAAAGCUUCGUUAGCUGAUAAUCAGCACCGGGCAUGUCCACACCACUAGUCGUGCAAAAGACCAAGUGAGUGAUUUUGGAUUUGGGCUGGCCCCAUUCUUUGAUAGCUCUGACGGCAGCUUCUUUGCCUAGCUUUGGUAUCUCGACCACCACUAUAUCUUGUCUGGCAUCCAAGGAAGGAGCCAUAUAUGCACAGAUAUUAGGGUUUUCUUUCAAUAUAUCCUCUGUCAAGUGCAUGUAACGCUUCUUGAUCAUGGAUUUGUCACAC
rnacentral:misc_RNA from 1 species